CGGCGGACGGGUGAGUAACGCGUGGGUGACCUGCCCCAUACCGGGGGAUAACAGCUGGAAACGGCUGCUAAUACCGCAUAAGCGCACAGAGCUGCAUGGCUCGGUGUGAAAAACUCCGGUGGUAUGGGAUGGGCCCGCGUCUGAUUAGGCAGUUGGCGGGGUAACGGCCCACCAAACCGACGAUCAGUAGCCGACCUGAGAGGGUGACCGGCCACAUUGGGACUGAGACACGGCCCAA
rnacentral:rRNA from 1 species